rnacentral:lncRNA from 1 species
CCAUGCCCCUCCUCGCCACUAGUUGGCCGGAACCGUCCGCCACCGCCCAACAUCGCCACGAGGCUGACGAGCUCCAGCGCUCACCCUCGUCACCAAUCCAUGAGCAGCGUGCCAUGGCGUCAUUAUCAUCUCGCCCAUCCCUUAAAUCGACCCCUGCCCCAAGCCUCAUUGUCCCAUACCGCAAGCUCUAGUAAACUUUUUCCCAUUGCCAAGCUCCUGAGCUCCUCCGACCGCCAGCCAAAAUCCUCCACGCCCCGGCGAUCUCCCUCCAAUAGCCUCCACCCGAAGCUCCUCCACCCUCCUAGCUCCUCCCUCCACCACUUCCCGUCGCCCAUGGUCCAUGGAGCUGGUGGGAAUGGAAGUUUUCCCCAUCCACUAGAAACAUUCAACCGCCGUCGUCGACCUCACCGUAGACGCCCACCUUCCAG